rnacentral:rRNA from 1 species
AGGGUUUGAUCCUGGCUCAGGACGAACGCUGGCGGUGCGCCUUAUGCAUGCAAGUCGAGCGAAGCUUUUCAGUAGUUUACUACAGAAAAUGACUGAGCGGCGAACGGGUGAGUAACGCGUGAGCAACCUACCUUAGUUACUGGGAUAGCCCGAGGAAACUCGGAUUAAUACCGGAUAUUCUUAUUUAAUCACAUGAUUUUUUAAGGAAAGGUCAGCCGAACUAAGAUGGGCUCGCGUUCUAUCAGCUAGUUGGUAGGGUAAUGGCCUACCAAGGCUACGACGGAUAGCUGGUCUGAGAGGACGAUCAGCCACACUGGGACUGAGACACGGCCCAGACUCCUACGGGAGGCUGCAGCAGGGAAUAUUGCGCAAUGAGCGAAAGCUUGACGCAGCGACACCGCGUGUGGGAUGACGGAUCUAGGUUUGUAAACCACUUUCAGGAGGGAAGAAAAUGACGGUACCUCCACAAGAAGCCCCGGCCAACUACGUGCCAGCAGCCGCGGUAAUACGUAGGGGGCGAGCGUUGUCCGGAUUUAUUGGGCGUAAAGAGCUCGUAGGCGGUUCAACAAGUCGGUCGUGAAAGUUCAGGGCUCAACCCUGAAAUGUCGAUCGAUACUGUUGUGACUAGGAUACGGUAGAGGUGAGUGGAAUUCCGAGUGUAGCGGUGAAAUGCGUAGAUAUUCGGAGGAACACCAAUUGCGAAGGCAGCUCACUGGGCCGCUAUCGACGCUGAGGAGCGAAAGCUAGGGGAGCAAACAGGAUUAGAUACCCUGGUAGUCCUAGCUGUAAACGAUGGAUACUAGACGUAGGAAUUGGAUUAACGAUUUCUGUGUCGUAGCUAACGCGUUAAGUAUCCCGCCUGGGGAGUACGGUCGCAAGACUAAAACUCAAAGGAAUUGACGGGACCCCGCACAAGUAGUGGAGCAUGUGGUUUAAUUCGAAGAUACGCGCAGAACCUUACCAACACUUGACAUGUUCGUCGCGACUUUAAGAGAUUAGAGUUUUCGGUUCGGCCGGACGAAACACAGGUGCUGCAUGGCUGUCGUCAGCUCGUGUCGUGAGAUGUUGGGUUAAGUCCCGCAACGAGCGCAACCCUUACCUUCAAUUGCCAGCACAUUAUGGUGGGAACUUUGAAGGAACUGCCGGUGAUAAGCCGGAGGAAGGUGGGGAUGACGUCAAGUCCUCAUGGCCCUUACGGGCCGGGCUACACACGUGAUACAAUGGUAACUACAAAGGGCAGCGAAGGAGCGAUCUGGAGCAAAUCUCAAAAAGUUACCUCAGUUCGGAUUGCACUCUGCAACUCGAGUGCAUGAAGUUGGAAUCGCUAGUAAUCGUAGAUCAGCGCGCUACGGUGAAUACGUUCCCGGGUCUUGUACACACCGCCCGUCACACCAUGGGAGUUGGUUUUACCAGAAGUGGCUAGCUUAACCGUAAGGAAAGCGGUUACCACGGUAGGAUUCGUGACUGGGGUGAAGUCAUAACAAGGUAACCGUA